rnacentral:misc_RNA from 1 species
AACGCACAUUGCGCCCCUUGGUAUUCCGAAGGGCAUGUCUGUUUGAGCGUCAUUUCAACAUUCGCUUUAAUUUGCGGUCUUGAGCUAAGUGCGUGAAAAAAUCGCCUCAGCUUUAAAGUUGAACGCUAUGCGGACCAAUGUCUUGCUGAAUAAACAUAGUAAAAAAUCAUCUGAUAUUUUUCCUGUUUAAACAGUGACAUUAGUCUCGCCGAAAAAAAACUUUAUAUUUUGAAAAAGUCUUGACCUCAAAUCAGGUAGGACUACCCGCUGAACUUAA